rnacentral:rRNA from 1 species
AUACGGAGGAUGCGAGCGUUAUCCGGAUUUAUUGGGUUUAAAGGGUGCGUAGGCGGACGCUUAAGUCAGUUGUGAAAGUUUGCGGCUCAACCGUAAAAUUGCAGUUGAUACUAGGUGUCUUGAGUACAGUAGAGGCAGGCGGAAUUCGUGGGGUAGCGGUGAAAUGCUUAGAUAUCAAGAAGAACUCCGAUUGCGAAGGCAGCCUGCUGGACUGUAACUGACGCUGAUGCUCGAAAGUGUGGGUAUCAAACAGGAUUAGAUACCCUGGUAGUCCACACAGUAAACGAUGAAUACUCGCUGUUUGCGAUAUACAGUAAGCGGCCAAGCGAAAGCGUUAAGUAUUCCACCUGGGGAGUACGCCGGCAACGGUGAAACUCAAAGGAAUUGACGGG